AUUGAACGCUGGCGGCAGGCCUAACACAUGCAAGUCGAACGAGUGGCGGACGGGGGAGUAAUGUCUGGGAAACUGCCCGAUGGAGGGGGAUAACGAAUGGAAACGGUAGCUAAUACCGCAUACCAUCGGAGGUGCCCAGAUGGGAUGAGCUAGAAGGUGGGGUAAAGGCUCCCCUAGGCGACGAUCCCUAGCUGGUCGGAGAGGAUGACCAGCCACACUGGAACUGAGGCACGGUCCAGACUCCUACGUGAGGCAGCAGUGGGGACUAUUGCACAAUGGGCGCAAGCCUGCUGCAGCCAUGCCGCGUGUAUGAAGAAGGCCUUCGGGUUGUAAAGUACUUUCAGCGGGGAGGCGUUACCCGCAGAAGAAGCACCGGCUAACUCCGUGCCAGCAGCCGCGGUAAUUC
rnacentral:rRNA from 1 species